UGGAUAAUGCGGGAUAACAGAGAGAGAGAAAAAGUGGUGGGCAUCAUCUGAAGCAAUCUACUGUGUCCCUUCAUGGCAUGCCUCCUCUGAAUGAAUCAGGAGGUCGUGGUGACUCUUGUAGAGAUGGUCACUGCUGGAGCUGGAGGAGAUGAUGGAUUUGAAGGGAAAGUCUGUGGCUGUUUCCAGAAAUGAGCAAGAGGUGCAGCAUGAGCCCUGUGACAAGGACAGCCCAGGCUGCUGUGUGGAUGAGGAGGGGGAAGGUGCUACACACACCAGGGAGGCUGGCAAAGGAGAAAGGCACAGUGGAGUCAAGGAAACCUGAUGUUGUUUUCAGUUUACCAACAUCUCUUUGGAAAACAGACCCAUCUCACUGUAGAAAUGUUCUGGAAACAAACUGAAACAAUUCCUUCUACCCCCAACAAGAGCAAUCAAGUGCCAGAGCUGUAUUUUACAAUUUCCUUGGAUAAUAUUUGGACAUAAAUGAUACCUGGCAAUUGUAUGCUCAUUGACAUUUUAUUUUUAACAUUUCAAUGAUUAAGCCGGACUCAUAGACGUGUAGUUUUUAAUUUUAAGAAAAAGGCUUUCCCAUGACAAUGGAGUGCAUAGUUUCAAGAUGAAAUUCAGCCUAGGAAAGACCUAUGGACUGGCACAAAAAGCGUGAAAUACCACAUGAGCUCUGCUAAUAAGUCAGUAGAGUUGUAAGAAGUCAAUGCAGUAUCAGCUGAUACCUGGGAGAAGAAAAGUACAAACCUGUGUCUCUCUGCAGAGCAUUUCCAGCACACCAUCAGCCUGUGAACGACGCUGGCAUGGCAGCCCUGAUAGCGAUGAAGAGACUCCUGGUGUGCAUCAAUCAACCCAGAGAAGAGAGACCAAAAUAGCUGAUUACUGGGUCUGUAAUGUCUUAUCCUCAGAACAAAACCAAAUUUUCAGUUAGCUUUUAGAAUGGCUUGUUUUCCUCAUCCAUCUGCAUGCCCAGCUAAAAUCUUCCAGGAAGUGAUCUUUGUUUCAACAGUAGGUAUGUCAGGUACAGGUAUUUUAAGGAGGAGGUAGUUUAAGCCAAGGGCUGCAUAUUUCAAUGCUUUCCUAACCCCCAGUUGAAAACCCAUAUGCCACUAAGUGGUUUAUAACUUGAGAGUCAGCCACCACUAUUUUUUUAAAUGUUCUAUAAUGUUUAUAAUGUCAGCCAGUCCCUGUUGCUAACCUUUUUUUUCUUUUACUUUCUUUACUUUUUUUUUUUUUUUUUUGAGGUAACCCUUUUACCUUCUUUUUCCCUGCUCAGACCCAUUAGCAGGAUG